AACGAACGCUGGCGGCAUGCCUAACACAUGCAAGUCGAACGAGACCUUCGGGUCUAGUGGCGCACGGGUGCGUAACGCGUGGGAACCUGCCCUUAGGUUCGGAAUAACUCCCCGAAAGGGGUGCUAAUACCGGAUAAUGUCUUCGGACCAAAGAUUUAUCGCCUUUGGAUGGGCCCGCGUUGGAUUAGCUAGUUGGUAGGGUAAAAGCCUACCAAGGCGACGAUCCAUAGCUGGUCUGAGAGGAUGAUCAGCCACACUGGGACCGAGGCACGGCCCAGACUCCUACGGGAGGCAGCAGUGGGGAAUAUUGGACAAUGGGCGAAAGCCUGAUCCAGCAAUGCCGCGUGAGUGAUGAAGGCCUUAGGGUUGUAAAGCUCUUUUACCCGGGAUGAUAAUGACAGUACCGGGAGAAUAAGCUCCGGCUAACUCCGUG
rnacentral:rRNA from 1 species